rnacentral:rRNA from 1 species
AUUGAACGCUGGCGGCAGGCCUAACACAUGCAAGUCGAGCGGAUGAGAGGAGCUUGCUCCUUGAUUCAGCGGCGGACGGGUGAGUAAUGCCUAGGAAUCUGCCUGGUAGUGGGGGACACCGUUUCGAAAGGAACGCUAAUACCGCAUACGUCCUACGGGAGAAAGCAGGGGACCUUCGGGCCUUGCGCUAUCAGAUGAGCCUAGGUCGGAUUAGCUAGUUGGUGAGGUAAUGGCUCACCAAGGCGACGAUCCGUAACUGGUCUGAGAGGAUGAUCAGUCACACUGGAACUGAGACACGGUCCAGACUCCUACGGGAGGCAGCAGUGGGGAAUAUUGGACAAUGGGCGAAAGCCUGAUCCAGCCAUGCCGCGUGUGUGAAGAAGGUCUUCGGAUUGUAAAGCACUUUAAGUUGGGAGGAAGGGCAGUAAGCUAAUACCUUGCUGUUUUGACGUUACCAACAGAAUAAGCACCGGCUAACUUCGUGCCAGCCGCCGCAGUAAUAC